UCAUCAAAUUUUCAUGUUUAUUAGUUGCAAGCGUUUUCGAGAUAAUAUUCCACAUGUUGACGAGGGAGAUACGGAAGGACCGACGGACAAAGGUAUGCCAUACUUCGUCCCGUAAAUGCGUAUUUACAAACAACAAAUAUAAACAAACACAAAUCUUGACUCUUAAUGUCGAUGUAAAAAAAAACACAGUUUGAAGGUUGAAAAGCAAAAAUUAGUUCAAUCCAAUUGUGUAAUAUUCAUUAACAAUGGACAUAAUAAGUAAUAGGAAUAGAUUGGAGGGAAAAUGACAGAUAUUUCAAAUUCCUUUUUCAUCAUUUUUGCCAAUACGA
rnacentral:lncRNA from 1 species